GUGGGGAAUAUUGGGCAAUGGGGGAAACCCUGACCCAGCAACGCCGCGUGAAGGAAGAAGGUUUUCGGAUCGUAAACUUCUAUCCUUGGUGAAGAUAAUGACGGUAGCCAAGAAGGAAGCCCCGGCUAACUACGUGCCAGCAGCCGCGGUAAUACGUAGGGGGCAAGCGUUGUCCGGAAUGAUUGGGCGUAAAGGGCGCGUAGGCGGCCUGGUAAGUCUGGAGUGAAAGCCCUGCUUUUAAGGUGGGAAUUGCUUUGGAUACUGUCGGGCUUGAGUGCAGGAGAGGUAAGCGGAAUUCCCGGUGUAGCGGUGAAAUGCGUAGAGAUCGGGAGGAACACCAGUGGCGAAGGCGGCUUACUGGACUGUAACUGACGCUGAGGCGCGAAAGUGUGGGGAGCAAACAGGAUUAGAAACCCCGGUAGUCC
rnacentral:rRNA from 1 species